GAAAGUUUCAGGAAAUCCUAAAA
rnacentral:siRNA from 1 species